rnacentral:lncRNA from 10 species
CUUAAAUGCCGGCAGCCCUGGGACUUCUGGCCUCACAAUGGUUGAGUCUGGGUGGCCCAGUAAACAUGAGGAAGAGAUGCCUGUACCUUCUGGAUGCUCCCGCUGAAAGGCUUCAGGACACCCGAGUUCUUCUUCACAUCAUCAUAAUUGGGGACUCCGCCAAUGAAAAUGUCUGUGUUGCACUUAAUCUGUGUGAAGCCUCCCUGCCAAAAGAUUAAAAACAAAGCAUUGUAUGACUUUAAAACAGAUGUUCAAAAUGAUCAAAUGUGUCUUCAGUUCCCUGUUGGGGAACAAAAUGGUAGACAGAGCCUAGAGACCCAUCAUGACAAUCUGUCUACACAAGGGCUUCACUUUCACAGUGUUUCUCAUUGCUCCUUACCACCUGCCUGAAUGUUGGUGAACGUCUUAAAGUCUCUGAGACUUCAUUUCAUUGUCUGCAAAAUGGGAGUCAUUGUAUCUACCUCAUAGCUAUGUCAUGAUGACUGUGGCAGACUGCACUACCGUUCACAGGUACCCCUCCCCACAGGAAGAUUGCCUCCAACCUGUCGGCUCAGAUGAGCUUGUGUGACUUCUUAUAGCCAAUAAAACAUGAGCAGAAGAGAAAAGAAUCACUUCUGGGCAGAAGCUUUCAGAGCCAGAGAGUAGUUCACCAUGCCCUUUUCUCCUUCCCUCUGUUCCUUCAGCCCAGAUCUCAGAUUACAGCUGCAGCUAACCAUUGGUGGAUAUGUAUCAUGAGUGAGAAAUCCUUACAUUUGAGAGCUCUGGGAAUGAACACACUUUAGGUAAUGUUAAGUUAUUAUUUUCUUUGAUUUACGAUAAAAUAAAUACAAAUAGUAGCAGCUUUGAUCAUUGAUUUAACAAAUAUUAUUAGGCACAUACUACAAUAUGCCCCAGCCACUAUGUUAAGUGCUGGACAAACAGCAGAA